rnacentral:rRNA from 1 species
GUUUAUGGCCAUAUCACCCUGAGCACACGCAAUCAUGUUUGAUCUCGGACGCCAAGCAGGGUCAAGCCUGGUUAGUACUUGUAUCGGAGCAUCUAAUUAUGCAGGUCAUGCAGAGUGAACAGGAGUGAAUGUACU